rnacentral:rRNA from 1 species
CGUAGUCAACAUGCCCAGGGGACGUGGAUAACCUCGGGAAACUGAGGAUAAACCACGAUAAGUCACUACUUCUGGAAUGGGUAAUGACUCAAAUCUACAUGGCCCCUGGAUUGGACUGCGGCCGAUCAGGCUGUUGGUGAGGUAAUGGCCCACCAAACCUGUAACCGGUACGGGCUCUGAGAGGAGGAGCCCGGAGAUGGGCACUGAGACAAGGGCCCAGGCCCUAUGGGGCGCAGCAGGCGCGAAACCUCUGCAAUAGGCGAAAGCCUGACAGGGUUACUCUGAGUGAUUUCCGUUAAGGAGAUCUUUUGGCACCUCUAAAAAUGGUGCAGAAUAAGGGGUGGGCAAGUCUGGUGUCAGCCGCCGCGGUAAUACCAGCACCCCGAGUGGUCGGGACGUUUAUUGGGCCUAAAGCAUCCGUAGCCGGUUCUACAAGUCUUCCGUUAAAUCCACCUGCUUAACAGAUGGGCUGCGGAAGAUACUAUGGAGCUAGGAGGCGGGAGAGGCAAGCGGUACUCGAUGGGUAGGGGUAAAAUCCGUUGAUCCAUUGAAGACCACCAAUGGCGAAGGCGGCUUGCCAGAACGCGCUCGACGGUGAGGGAUGAAAGCUGGGGGAGCAAACCGGAUUAGAUACCCGGGUAGUCCCAGCUGU